CGGCAGCACGGGGGCAACCCUGGUGGCGAGUGGCGAACGGGUGAGUAAUACAUCGGAACGUGUCCUGUAGUGGGGGAUAGCCCGGCGAAAGCCGGAUUAAUACCGCAUACGCUCUACGGAGGAAAGGGGGGGAUCUUAGGACCUCUCGCUACAGGGGCGGCCGAUGGCAGAUUAGCUAGUUGGUGGGGUAAAGGCCUACCAAGGCGACGAUCUGUAGCUGGUCUGAGAGGACGACCAGCCACACUGGGACUGAGACACGGCCCAGACUCCUACGGGAGGCAGCAGUGGGGAAUUUUGGACAAUGGGCGCAAGCCUGAUCCAGCAAUGCCGCGUGUGUGAAGAAGGCCUUCGGGUUGUAAAGCACUUUUGUCCGGAAAGAAAUCCUUUGGCCUAAUACGUCGGGGGGAUGACGGUACCGGAAGAAUAAGCACCGGCUAACUACGUGCCAGCAGCCGCGGUAAUACGUAGGGUGCAAGCGUUAAUCGGAAUUACUGGGCGUAAAGCGUGCGCAGGCGGUUCGCUAAGACAGAUGUGAAAUCCCCGGGCUUAACCUGGGAACUGCAUUUGUGACUGGCGGGCUAGAGUAUGGCAGAGGGGGGUAGAAUUCCACGUGUAGCAGUGAAAUGCGUAGAGAUGUGGAGGAAUACCGAUGGCGAAGGCAGCCCCCUGGGCCAAUACUGACGCUCAUGCACGAAAGCGUGGGGAGCA
rnacentral:rRNA from 1 species